GCGGAGGGAUCAUUACAAGUGACCCCGGUCUAACCACCGGGAUGUUCAUAACCCUUUGUUGUCCGACUCUGUUGCCUCCGGGGCGACCCUGCCUUCGGGCGGGGGCUCCGGGUGGACACUUCAAACUCUUGCGUAACUUUGCAGUCUGAGUAAACUUAAUUAAUAAAUUAAAACUUUUAACAACGGAUCUCUUGGUUCUGGCA
rnacentral:misc_RNA from 1 species